rnacentral:rRNA from 1 species
AUUGAACGCUGGCGGCAGGCCUAACACAUGCAAGUCGAGCGCGCGGCGGACGGGUGAGUAAUGUUUGGGGACUGCCCGUUAGAGGGGGAGCACUCCUGGAAACGGUGGCUAAUACCGCAUACUGUCUGCUAACCCCUAUGGGAGUAGCUAGUAGGUCAGGUAAUGGCUUACCUCGGCGCCGAUCCCUAGCUGGUCUGAGAGGGUGAUCAGCCACACUGAGACUGAGACACGGCCCAGACUCCUACGGAGGCAGCAGUGGGGAAUAUUGCACAAUGGGCGCAAGCCUGAUGCAGCCAUGCCGCGUGUAUGAAGAAGGCCCUAGGGUUGUAAAGUACUUUCAGUCGGGAGGCGUUACCGACAGAAGAAGCACCGGCUAACUACGUGCCAGCAGCCGCGGUAAUAC